rnacentral:rRNA from 1 species
GAUGAACGCUGGCGGCGUGCCUAAUACAUGCAAGUCGAGCGAACGGACGAGAAGCUUGCUUCUCUGAUGUUAGCGGCGGACGGGUGAGUAACACGUGGAUAACCUACCUAUAAGACUGGGAUAACUUCGGGAAACCGGAGCUAAUACCGGAUGAUAUUUUGAACCGCAUGGUUCAAAAGUGAAAGACGGUCUUGCUGUCACUUAUAGAUGGAUCCGCGCUGCAUUAGCUAGUUGGUAAGGUAACGGCUUACCAAGGCAACGAUGCAUAGCCGACCUGAGAGGGUGAUCGGCCACACUGGAACUGGGGCACGGUCCAGACUCCUACGGGAGGCAGCAGUAGGGAAUCUUCCGCAAUGGGCGAAAGCCUGACGGAGCAACGCCGCGUGAGUGAUGAAGGUCUUCGGAUCGUAAAACUCUGUUAUUAGGGAAGAACAUAUGUGUAAGUAACUGUGCACAUCUUGACGGUACCUAAUCAGAAAGCCACGGCUAACUACGUG